UGGAAACUACACAUUUUCUACACAAUGGGAGGAAAAAGAGGGUAUGGACAACGGGCAAAACGGCCAGGAAAAUGCAACGCAUGAAAGGCAUAUUGUUGGUCAAAACACGGCGAGGUGAGGUUCGUGCUACCCUUGCAAUUUGCCUGGGCUGCUUUUGCAGUUGUGCAUACCUUUAUUUAUAUCCCAUUCAAAAUGAAGACUCAUUUUUUCGUUGCAAUUUGGGCGAAAUGUACCAUUUCAUUUUCAAAAUAUACCGUGAAUAUACUGACGAAGAGCCGAAUUUCGCCCACUUACACCCCCUUUUUCUAAACAGGACAGCAAGAAGGGUGCACAUCCAUACUAUCCCUAAUUUUUACGUAAAAAAGACCAAGAUCACUUAAACUGCCUUAAAAUUCUUUAAGAUUCAUCGUUUUCGUAGAGUGUAGUUUAAUCUAUUAAUUUGUAAUCUAAUCGUUCUGUUAUUAUGUUAUUCCUCACUUUUUAUAUACUAAGGACCAUAGGGGAUAGAAUCUUCCAUACUCAGCUCUACCGAUUAUGGCGAACUGCUUUCUUCGAAUAGGUUAUUGGCUCUCUUCGAAUCGGUAGUGGCUCUCUAUUUUCGGACAAUCAAAUAAAAAAGGUAUUUUUUAAAUUUGCUGGAUCCGGCAUCUACGAUCGCUUGCAUCGCGCCAGCAGCUGGGACCAAGAGGGUCCUGACAUAGCGACCGCGCCAGUAGGUCCCCCUCCGAUGGCUAGGAAUACUUCUUGGGUGCUCGCGAACAACGUUAUGCCCACCAUCUUUACCAGGGGCUUCAACCCUCUAGCCAUCCGGUUCUUAUGAGCGAGAGUGACCAACUGAUAUCGCGAAGACCCCGCUGAACUGUGACCGCGCCCCUGCUCCUGGACUGUGACAGCCAUGAUGCCGCUGAGUCGACAAUCUGGCGUCCCGUCCGAUGCAGCAGGGACCAGUGAUGGACGGCGGAAUUGUUGGUUCACGUCCACGGGAAAUAAUAUCGGCAACUGCCCAUACAUACGCCACCGUAUCAAACACUGGGCUUCAGCUUCGAAAAGCAGGACUGACCUACGCUUUGCUCCAAAUCGUGUCGUAUCCGAGUUCUCCCCGCUAGACGGAGUCCUAUCAAAGUAUGCCAGCCGGACAGAAUCGUAUCCCAGAAAAAGCCAACGUCAUCCUUCGACCUGGCCAUCGACAACAACGAUUUUGACUAUGGCAACCAAGACAGGGGCAACGCAGGCUACUAGACUCUAGAUAGGUAUCAUUGUUGUUAGGUUUAAGGAUAUACGCGUCUAUAUAUUUAGUUACUAGAUAUUAUUUCCACUUGCUGAUUUAUUUCUACUAAGCUAAGUUAUAUUGAAUAAAACGAUUGAAAAAUUA